AUUGCUAAUCGAUCCUCCUGCAACACUUGCACUGGGUUAAAUGUCAAUCGUAUUGAUCAUUUAACCCUAGAACAAUUCUUAAUCCUUGAUCAACCAUCCGAUUGGAUCAUGAACUCUAAUGUGUGUGAUCUCAUAGAUCCAAACCUAAGCUGUUAGCAUAGGAAUAAAUUUUUAUACCAAUCGAAGUGACCAUCUAGCAAUGGUACCCGACGACCGG
rnacentral:lncRNA from 1 species